CCGGUUGAUCCUGCCGGAGGUCACUGCUAUUGGGAUUCGACUAAGCCAUGCGAGUCGAGAGGGUUCGGCCCUCGGCUGACGGCUCAGUAACACGUGGAUAAUCUGCCCUUAGGUGGAGGAUACCCUCGGGAAACUGAGAAUAAUACUCCAUAGGUCUAGGAUGCUGGAAUGCAUCUAGACUUAAAGCUCCGGCGCCUAAGGAUGAGUCUGCGGACUAUCAGGUUGUAGUCAGGGUAAAGACCUGACUAGCCUACGACGGAUACGGGUUGUGAGAGCAAUAACCCGGAGAUGAUAUCUGAGACACGAUAUCAGGCCCUACGGGGCGCAGCAGGCGCGAAAACUUCACACUGUGCGAAAGCACGAUGAGGGAAUCCCAAGUGCUUGCACGUAAGUGUAAGCUGUUUCUUUGUUUAAAACGCAUUGAGAGUAAGGGCUGGGUAAGACGGGUGCCAGCCGCCGCGGUAAUACCUGCAGCUCGAGUGGUGGCCGCUAUUAUUGGGCCUAAAACGUCCGUAGCCGGUUUAGUAAAUGCCUGGGUAAAUCGUGUAGCUCAACUAUACGAAUUCCGGGUAGACUGCUAAACUUGAGACCGGGAGAAGUUAGAGGUACUCCUGGGGUAGAGGUGAAAUUCUGUAAUCCUAGGGGGACCACCAGUGGCGAAGGCGUCUGACUAG
rnacentral:rRNA from 1 species